CCUACGGGAGGCAGCAGUAGGGAAUCUUCCACAAUGGACGAAAGUCUGAUGGAGCAACGCCGCGUGAGUGAAGAAGGGUUUCGGCUCGUAAAGCUCUGUUGGUAGUGAAGAAAGAUAGAGGUAGUAACUGGCCUUUAUUUGACGGUAAUUACUUAGAAAGUCACGGCUAACUACGUGCCAGCAGCCGCGGUAAUACGUAGGUGGCAAGCGUUGUCCGGAUUUAUUGGGCGUAAAGCGAGUGCAGGCGGUUCAAUAAGUCUGAUGUGAAAGCCUUCGGCUCAACCGGAGAAUUGCAUCAGAAACUGUUGAACUUGAGUGCAGAAGGGGAGAGUGGAACUCCAGGUGUAGCAGUGAAAUGCGUAGAUAUAUGGAAGAACACCAGUGGCGAAGGCGGCUCGCUGGACUGCAACUGACGCUGAGGCUCGAAAGCAUGGGUAGCGAACGGGAUUAGAUACCCGAGUAGUC
rnacentral:rRNA from 1 species